rnacentral:rRNA from 1 species
GAUGAACGCUAGCGGGAGGCCUAACACAUGCAAGCCGAGCGGUAUUGUUUCUUCGGAAAUGAGAGAGCGGCGUACGGGUGCGGAACACGUGUGCAACCUGCCUUUAUCUGGGGGAUAGCCUUUCGAAAGGAAGAUUAAUACUCCAUAAUAUAUUGAACGGCAUCGUUUAAUAUUGAAAGCUCCGGCGGAUAGAGAUGGGCACGCGCAAGAUUAGCUAGUUGGUGAGGUAACGGCUCACCAAGGCGAUGAUCUUUAGGGGGCCUGAGAGGGUGAUCCCCCACACUGGUACUGAGACACGGACCAGACUC